AGGAGGAGGGGCUCGGAGGACAACUUCUGAAGUGACUUAUCUCCUUUCACCAUGUGGGUCCCAGUGAUCAAACUCAGUCUGUCUCCAGCCCCAUCUUACUCCUGUCUAAAGAGCCCUCAGAGAAAAUCUUUCCAGAUUCUAAGUAAAUAGCAUUACUGAGAACUAGCAAAUGCAAUACCAAGGAUGUCUUCAGGCGUGCUGGAAGAAGACAGGAAUAACCUGCAGAUGGACUGCCUGGUCCAACAAAGCACAUUGCCAGACCAGGAUAGGCAAGCUGCAACCAGGCACAGAUGUAUUGUUUCAGGGCACACCCUGCCACUGCCAUGACCGCCAUGACCACCAUGACUGCCAUGACCACCAUCACAGGAUCUCAAGGGCAGGGAGGCACAGUGACUUUUCAAUCUCGUCAUUCUUCCUCCCAAGAGUUUCACCAAAACAGACCUACAGGGAACGCUUCCUUUUCUCUGCGCUUCACUUUGCAGAGUGGGGCCAGGUGCCAUACGAAGACAGGAUACAGCGUGUCUGCAGCUGCCUUGAGAGUCACCUUUUCUGAGCCACCACCACUCCCAGGGGUGGCUGGAAAUGCAGCCUCGGCACAGGGACUUAGUGUAGAGCAGAGGUGAGAAGAUCUGUUUGUGUCAAUGGAUGCCUUUGUCCAUGAGCUGAUUGGGUCAUAUCAACAAACAAACAAACAAACCAAAAGCAACUUUCAAAUAUUUGGACCUGACAGGGGAACCUUUGCAAGGCUCCAUGGUAUUAGAGUCACCUCUAGGCCACCUCCAAACUCUACAGUGGCUUUCAUCUCCCUCACGUUAAACAUCAAUUUAUAACCUCUUGGUGACUGAUUUGCACAAACAGAUGAUAACAUGCUAAUACUGGCUACAGGUUCUUUUUUGUUGUUGUUGUUGUUGUUUUCCAA